UGAGGUGGCAGAGUUUAAGUUCCGGGACGUGUGCUUAAGGUUGUAUUGUAGUACUACCAGUAGUAGUAACGGUGGUUGUGAUAAUAGAUAUUUUACUGAAGCAGGCACCCUGUAUCGAUCGAUGUGAUAAAUUAGUAAAGGCAAAAACAAAUUAGCAUUUUCCUUCAUGCUUCUUGACGUCUAUGUGACGUCACUGUGGUCCUUUCGGCUAAGGGACUCUACUAGCAACAGAUUUUGGAAGUCAUUCUUGCAUCUUUAAUAUUCUCAGAAGAAGAAAUUUCAGUCUCGUUGCAUUUUAAAGGAAAAAAAAGUCCAGUGAUUCAACAGUUAUGCUGAUUGGUACAAAGUCCAUCUUUGAAAUUGGUCAAGAUUUAACCAUUACGGAGGGUCUGCAGUUACUUAACUUCCAGAGGAGAGAUGUCCUGCUUGAGGAUCCUGCAGAUAGAGGUGCAAGUCAUGCUCUGGCUGUGCAGGAAGAGGCCAGCAUUAUUCCCAGGGUCUCUAAUCGAAUGUCCUGUUCUGCAUGUCUCUGCCAUUUUAACGACAGGGAGGAACAGGUAGAGCAUUACAAACUUGAUUGGCAUCGAUUUAAUUUAAAACGGAGAGUCACAGGAUGUCAACCAGUGUCAGCUGACGAAUUUGAAAGGAAAUCUAGUACAGGUGACAUCUCCAGUAUUUCAGGGUCAGAGUCUGAGGAUUCAUUUUCAGACUCUGACAGUAGUCAGCUGACAGGAGGGAAUUUCGUGGAACCACUGAACAAUGAGAUUGAAAAGACACUACAGGAAAGCCGCUUCCCAAGCAAAAUCUUCUUUCAGAACUGCAAGGGUCUUUACUUAUCAGUUGUUUCUGAAGCACUCCUGAACCGAAAGGAUCCUAAGCCAAACAUUUGUGAGUUGCUGUCUUCUCUUCGGGCGUUGAACACUAAAACGUCUUGGGUCAUUCUGAUAACUGGAGGGGGGCAUUUUGCUGGCGCAGUCUUCAGUGGGAGCACAGUUGUGGAACAUAAAACUUUCCACAGGUAUACUGUUCGAGCAAAAAGAGGAAUGGCACAGAGCGUUAGAGAUUCACAGAACCACAGCCAUGCACCCAGAUCUGCUGGUGCAUCCCUGAGGCGAUACAAUGAAGCAGCACUUAAGAAGGAUAUUCAGGAAUUGCUAGAGAGUUGGUCAGAUUAUCUGAAGAAUGCAAUUGCCAUAUACCUUCGGGCUCCAAGCUACAACAAGGCCACCUUUUUCAGUGGGAAGAAUCCUCCCUUGAAGAAAGACAGUCCUAAUCUUCACUACAUUCCCUUUGCUACCCGAAGAGCUACCUUUAGCGAAGUCAAGCGAGUCCAUGAGUUACUGUCAACAGUUCAUAUUUAUGGAAAAGAUACAGUCUUGGAAGAUAUCCUUAAUCCCCAAAAGAAAGGAAAGUCUGUAAAAAGAACGUAAACCAAGAUGAAAUUUCAAAUCUAGAAAGAAAAGAGAAACAUUGGCUUGUGAAUAACUUGGAAUACUACUGGAUUUUUAAUAAUUUCCAUAUUUUCGCCUGCCUUGCUUCUGAAAGAAAUUAAAUCAAGUGGAUCACAUGUUAAACAGUGCAGAUCAUAGUGAAGAACCUUGUGAAAUGCCAUAAACUAGAAAAUAGUGGCUAAAAUGCAGCUAGUUUCCAAAAGAGUCACAGAGUGUGAUACAUAAUUUAACAAGUAAACAGAACAAGGAUUUGGACUUUCAUUUCGCAUAUGAAGACACGGUAUCAACAUGGAGACCUUAUUACAGAUAUAUUACGACAUCCGUGAAUUUAUACAGAAAAGGAGUUUUUGACAAACAUACUAAAUACCAAGUAGAACGGGCCAGACAGUUAAUAUUCAUAAACUCAGUUGUGGCCAUUUGGGUAAAUGGAAGCAUAUGUGGUAGAAUUGUUUAAGAUAUUUCUGUUGUGGAAAGAAACUUGACAGUUAAUGACAGAUACUGCAAGAAUUAAAAUGCAUUCAAGUUGUAAGAUUUGAGUUUUAGUACACGUGCCAAAUAAUUCUGGAAAAGUUAUGCAAUUAUGUUUUUUCAAACAAAACAUGCAAUUCUAAAGUGUUUUAUCCAGGCUAUCCUUUUGUUUCAUCUAGGGAUUAAAAUGGUACAAUCAACUUAUUUUGAAAUGAUUUUCAGUUGAAAGAAUAUUAUGACGCAUCAUGGAGUAAAAGUGGUACUUGUUUAUUAUA